rnacentral:rRNA from 1 species
AGCGGCGGACGGGUGAGUAACGCGUGGGCAACCUGCCUUACACAGGGGGAUAACAGUUAGAAAUGACUGCUAAUACCGCAUAAGACCACAGUACUGCAUGGUGCAGUGGUAAAAACUCCGGUGGUGUAAGAUGGGCCCGCGUCUGAUUAGGUAGUUGGCGGGGUAACGGCCCACCAAGCCGACGAUCAGUAGCCGGCCUGAGAGGGUGGACGGCCACAUUGGGACUGAGACACGGCCCAAACUCCUACGGAAGGCAGCAG